UACGUAGGGUGCGAGCGUUGCCCGGAUUUAUUGGGCGUAAAGAGCGUGUAGGCGGCCAAACAGGUCCGUUGUGAAAACUGGAGGCUCAACCUCCAGACGUCGACGGAAACCGUGUGGCUAGAGUCCGGAAGAGGAGAGUGGAAUUCCUGGUGUAGCGGUGAAAUGCGCAGAUAUCAGGAAGAACACCAAUGGCGAAGGCAGCUCUCUGGGACGGUACUGACGCUGAGACGCGAAAGCGUGGGGAGCGAACAGG
rnacentral:rRNA from 1 species